UAGGGAAUCUUCGGCAAUGGGGGGAACCCUGACCGAGCAACGCCGCGUGAGUGAAGAAGGUUUUCGGAUCGUAAAGCUCUGUUGUUAAGGAAGAACGAGUGUGAGAAUGGAAAGUUCAUACUGUGACGGUACUUAACCAGAAAGGGACGGCUAACUACGUGCCAGCAGCCGCGGUAAUACGUAGGUCCCGAGCGUUGUCCGGAUUUAUUGGGCGUAAAGCGAGCGCAGGCGGUUAGAUAAGUCUGAAGUUAAAGGCAGUGGCUCAACCAUUGUAGGCUUUGGAAACUGUUUAACUUGAGUGCAGAAGGGGAGAGUGGAAUUCCUUGUGUAGCGGUGAUAUGCGUAGAUAUAUGGAGGAACACCAGUGGCGAAAGCGGCUCUCUGGUCUGUAACUGUCGCUGAGGCUCGAAAGCGUGGGGAGCGAACAGG
rnacentral:rRNA from 1 species